rnacentral:rRNA from 1 species
AUUUUCGAUUAGGUAGUUGGUGGGGUAGAAGCCUAUCCAAGCCGAAGAUCGAUAGUCAUGUUUGACAGAUCAAAUGACCACAUUGGGAGUGAAAUAUCCCAAGUAGCUAAGGCUACCAGCAGUCAAGAAUAUUAGUCAAUGCUCGCAAGAGUGAACUAGCUAACUGAAAUCAUCUUUGUGUCAAAGAUGAUAACAUAAGGGAAAAUAAUGAUAUUACCUUAUUUAUAGUGUCGUCCAAAUACUCGUGCCAGAAGACUCGGUAAGGCGAGAGACGCAAACGUUAGUCGUCUUAAUCAGGCGUAAAGGGUUUGUAGGCUGCUUUAAGAAUCUACAUCAUCGAUUUACUCGUUUAUAGUUAUUAUAUUCAAUAUUGUAAUGUAGAUGAGAUAAUUUAGAUCAAUUAAAGCUAGAAUCAAAAGGAGGUUAAGUUAUUAAUGCUUUAGGGAGAGUUGGUAUUUGUAGAUCUAAAGUAGAAAACUAUGGGCGAAGGCUUUUUUCCAAUAAUGAUUGACGCUGAGAAACUAAGGUGAGGGCAGAAAAAAGGAUUAGAGACCCUUGUAUUCCUCACUGUCAACAAUGAAUGGAAGUCAUUACAAUAGAAGUAAAGGCGAUGUUAACACGAAAAACCAUUCCGCCUUGUGAGUACGAUUGCAAAAUUGAAAACAAAAAAAUUAGUCGGUUUCGGAGCAAACGAAGUGAAGCAUGUUAUUUAAUUCGAUAAUCCGCGUAUAAUCUUACCAGUUCUUGAAUAAAAACUAUCACUCUAUCAUUUGAUUUCAUUCAUUCUUGUUUGAAAUGAUCUAUAGAGUGAUUAGGGGAGUUCAUUUUAAAUGAAUUUAAAAGC